UCUAGGUGCUGUGACAUGCACCUGUAGUCCUAGAUGCUCAGUAGGCUGAGGCAAGAGGAUUGCUUGAGCCCAAGAGUUCAUGGGUAUUAUGGUGAGACCCUGUCUCAA
rnacentral:sRNA from 1 species